rnacentral:lncRNA from 1 species
GAAUUUGAGUUGUACAUGUGGUCACAUGAUCUACAUUCACAGAACUGACUGCACAAUGGAUUAAAAUGGCUUCCUGUGGUCUGAUGUGCUACUUCCUAAUUUGUCGUCGCUUUUCUCAAAUUUGCUGUAAUGGAGUUGAUCGUUUUCAUAGUGAUUCAGCUCCUGAUGGAGGUUCAGUCCUACACAUCCCCUACUGUAAAAAUAUCUCCAGAUGUCAUAAGAGAGUCCAGCUCAGUGAAGAUCAGCUGUGAGACGCCAAAUGUUACAGUGAAUCAGUGUUAUUUCAACACAAACAGUGAGGAGAAGAAUGUAAAAACCAGUUGGAGAUGUGAGCUGGAUCUCACUGGUGCUGAAGUGUUCAGAUGGGCAGCUGUAACAUCACCUGGAUCACUCGACAUUUACUGUUACUACACAAUACAUGGGAUUGAUAAACCAUCACGCCAUUCUCCUCCUGCCACAGUGACGGUUCUAGGUUCAUUGUUGAACCAUUCCAAGACAAACCUGUCAACAAGUACAACAAAAAAAACGAUGAUUUCCAUUACAAACUCCACUUUGCCUGGUAACAGUAGAAUAUCAGAACAUAUUUCAACAGAAGCGUCCACUCAAAAAGCUUCACAAAUACACACAUCAACAAUGGCUGUCACUUUCACAACAGCAUCCCCCAGAACAGCUGUUUCUAAUGUUCACACUUCAAUGGCUCAUCCGACAGAUCCACAAACAGGCACAUGGUUUUUAGUGCUGGUUUCCACUGGUGUUGCUGUAUUCUUGUCUGGACUCACAGGACUCAUCUGUCUGUGUCGGUUUGCAAGUCAAAAAAUAAGAAAACUAUCAAUAAAAAUGGAAGUGCCCAGUCAAGGAAUUAGUAUGAGUGGUUCUGGAUCUGCAGAUAUAUAUUCCCUGAUCACUUCUGUACCAGAAACAUCUCAGCCCAUAUCUGGAGGCCUCGAACACCCAGAGUCACAUCAGGAGAGCACAGCAGAUCCCACAGACACUCACUCUUUCAUUAUGUCUGUAAAUUCAGUUUACCAGCCAUCAGAUGUUUUAGUCAAUAAACAACAGAAACAGGAAAAUCCAGAGGAAAAUGAGAAUGUUUAUCACCUGUACUCCAUGAUCCCUGACAAACCAGUUCACUCAAAUGCAGAAGAUCACGUGUACAGUUUGGUGAAGAUGCACUGACAAAUCCCAUGUCUGUGUUCAUUAUGUAUUGCGACUAUAAUUAAAGUGUAUUUACUUUCAGACAAAAACAGUAGGUGUUUAUUUUUUUAUUAUUCAAUGUUUGGUGUGGAAUAUACUGUGACCUCAGUGAAUAUCCAGAGCAUCUUCUCUGGCAAACCCACUAGUACCACUUGUGGAGCUUGGGCAUUCAAUAAGAGCUGAACUAAAAUUGUAAUGAUAAAUGAAAUCUUUUACUUCUUUUCUAAAGAAAUUGAACCAUCUGAAGGUUUGAGCCAAAUGUUUUUUUUCUUAUAAGUUUGUUGUAUUUAAAAACGGCUUAAAUCAGUUUUUUCAAAUUCCAUCAUGUGACGUUAGCUUCUCCUCC